rnacentral:rRNA from 1 species
GGACGAACGCUGGCGGCGUGCUUAACACAUGCAAGUCGAGCGGUAAGGCCCUUUCGGGGGUACACGAGCGGCGAACGGGUGAGUAACACGUGGGUGACCUGCCCUUAGCUCUGGGAUAAGCCUGGGAAACUGGGUCUAAUACCGGAUAUGACUCCAUAACGCAUGUUGUGGGGUGGAAAGCCUUGUGCGGCUAGGGAUGGGCCCGCGGCCUAUCAGCUUGUUGGUGGGGUGAUGGCCACCAAGGCGACGACGGGUAGCCGGCCUGAGAGGGCGACCGGCCACACUGGGACUGAGACACGGCCCAGACUCCUACGGGAGGCAGCA